AGUGAACGCUGGCGGUAGGCCUAACACAUGCAAGUCGAACGGCAGCACAGUAAGAGCUUGCUCUUACGGGUGGCGAGUGGCGGACGGGUGAGGAAUACAUCGGAAUCUACUUUUUCGUGGGGGAUAACGUAGGGAAACUUACGCUAAUACCGCAUACGACCUACGGGUGAAAGCAGGGGAUCUUCGGACCUUGCGCGAUCGAAUGAGCCGAUGUCGGAUUAGCUAGUUGGCGGGGUAAAGGCCCACCAAGGCGACGAUCCGUAGCUGGUCUGAGAGGAUGAUCAGUCACACUGGAACUGAGACACGGUCCAGACUCCUACGGGAGGCAGCAGUGGGGAAUAUUGGACAAUGGGCGCAAGCCUGAUCCAGCCAUACCGCGUGGGUGAAGAAGGCCUUCGGGUUGUAAAGCCCUUUUGUUGGGAAAGAAAAGCAGCAGGUUAAUACCCCGCUGUUCUGACGGUACCCAAAGAAUAAGCACCGGCUAACUUCGUG
rnacentral:rRNA from 1 species